AUCCCAUCAUAAGGACACUUAUGAAGUAAUUCCUUGAAUCUUUCACACACCUCGUAUACGGACUCGUCAUCCAAUUGUUGAAAAGUGGUUAUCUCAUUUCGUAACUU
rfam:Gossypium raimondii Chr04_contig_706, whole genome shotgun sequence.